GAAGCCUAGUGGUGGCAACAGAAUUUGAACAGCCACAAACAUGAGUCCCAAGCACGACGCUCCCAAGGCUGGAGGGCAGACAUAGCCGCCACCCAGAAGGAAAGCACAGGUCAGCAGCGGACUAAAGCCACAACCCCAGCCAGGGAACCCUUCCAAAACACAGAGGAGCCAUAUGAGAAUAUCAGGAAUGAAGAUGUUUUCCAUUUGCUUCCACCCCUGCUUGAAUCUACCUCUCCCAAGUUUGUGAAGGAUGCUCUGACUGUGUCAUAAUGCCCUACCAGGGGUAACCGUAUUGCUUGGCCCAGAUGAUGGAUCCUGGGAUGUAGGAGGCAUAGGCCACAUCACUCUCAAGCCCUGUCCAGGUCUCCUCAGGAAUAUCACAGCGAUUAUACUGCACAUCUGCUGAAAGAGAGAAGGAAUGAAGGGACAGGAAGAGACUCUUUAAGAGAAAGAGCUGGAUGAGAGCUGGGGAGAGAACAAGAAGGAAAUUGGUAUAUGCAGCAGGUGGGACCAAAGGGGCACCUGGGAGAUCAGCACAGAGGAAGAAUAAAGACCCAUGGAGGAAAUGCAGCUGGAACCAGCUGAAAUGCAGCUGGAACCAGCUGAAAUGCAGCUGGAGGCAGUAGGAAUGGUGCCUCCUCAUACUCCAGGAAGAGAUUCCACACUCCUGCUUGCAUGCCCGCGUGUCUGACUGUGCUCCUGUCUAUGGAGCACCAUAAGAAUAAUUUCUCUGAGACUCUGUUUUCUCAUCUGUAAAAUAAUUGGGCUGGACAAGAUCAUCAUCAUCUCUUCCAACUAGUUCCAAACAGCCUAGAAUUCUAAGCGCACCAGAUCUCUCUCGUCUGUUUUCCCCGAUAUAUCCUAUAUCCCUCCCUAUCCACCAACCCAAUACCAAUAUUUUAAUCAGGAUUGACAGGGGCAGACCAAUGCUCAUGUAUUUAGAUUCCAGGCCCCUCCCCAACAAGAUCACUUUACAGGGCAUCUUCCUCCAGCCUUUUCUGCCCAGAUUCAUCUCCAUAUGAGAGGCAGAUCCUUCCUCUCUCCCAAGCACUACAAGGACACUGAGUGCUAACUAUAUUUACGUAGUAUUUAAUCUAAAGGAUA
rnacentral:lncRNA from 1 species